GCCGGCGGCCAUGUCACCCUGCAAAUGCACAACUGGCAACUCGGUAAAGCUCAGCAGGGGUGAGCCUGGUCAGUACCUGGAUAGGAGACCUCCUGGGAAAAACUAAGUUCGCUGCUGGAA
rnacentral:rRNA from 1 species